rnacentral:rRNA from 1 species
AUUGAACGCUGGCGGCAUGCCUUACACAUGCAAGUCGAACGGCAGCACGGGAGCAAUCCUGGUGGCGAGUGGCGAACGGGUGAGUAAUAUAUCGGAACGUGCCCAGUCGUGGGGGAUAACGUAGCGAAAGCUACGCUAAUACCGCAUACGAUCUAUGGAUGAAAGCGGGGGAUCGCAAGACCUCGCGCGAUUGGAGCGGCCGAUAUCAGAUUAGGUAGUUGGUGAGGUAAAGGCUCGCCAAGCCGACGAUCUGUAGCUGGUCUGAGAGGACGACCAGCCACACUGGGACUGAGACACGGCCCAGACUCCUACGGGAGGCAGCAGUGGGGAAUUUUUGGGACAAUGGGCGCAAGCCUGAUCCAGCAAUGCCGCGUGCAGGAUGAAGGCCUCGGUUGUAAC